GGGUAGAGGACAGGUAUAUAUUUGUGUUUGUGUGUGUGACUCAUAUUGACCACAAAAGAUCGAGUGACAAUAAUGGUUUUGAACGAAGGAAGCUUGUGAGACACAUUAGCUUCCUUCUGCUGAACGUAGAAGCGGAGUCAGGAGUGAUGAAGCGUAGUGAUGGUUGCUUAGUGGACAGUUACCGCUUUUCCGCUGCCGCCGAAGUAUGUCACUUUAAUCCGCCGCCUUGGGAAUGGAGAGUCACCGGCCGCGCCCAGCAACACCAUCUAGUGUGGAGGGGCGCUGGGCCUCACUCCGCUGACUUCCUUGCCGUUUUUCUGGUGUACCACAAGAGUCGGUAAGCUCUCGCAAGAUCUGGCAGUUCCGU